rnacentral:rRNA from 1 species
UUGGACGCUGGCGGCAUGCUUAACACAUGCAAGUCGAACGGUAACAGGCCCUUCGGGGUGCUGACGAGUGGCGGACGGGUGAGUAAUGCUUAGGAAUCUGCCUAGUAGUGGGGGAUAACCCGGGGAAACUCGGGCUAAUACCGCAUACGCCCUACGGGGAAAGGCGGGGACGUUUCGGCCUCCGCGCUAUUAGAUGAGCCUAAGUCCGAUUAGCUAGUUGGUAGGGUAAUGGCCUACCAAGGCGACGANCGGUAGCUGGUCUGAGAGGACG